rnacentral:tRNA from 1 species
GAGGACAUGCCUGAAUAGCCAAAGGACUGGUCUCGAAAACCAUGUGUGCAUUUGCACUUGGGGGGGCGGUACCCUCUGUCUUCG